rnacentral:tRNA from 1 species
UGUGGGGUGCCAGAGUGGUUGAAUGGGCCACACUCGAAAUGUGGUGUAUCGGUAAAACGGUACCGUGAGUUCAAAUCUCACCCCCACCG